rnacentral:rRNA from 1 species
AGCGAACGCUGGCGGCAGGCUUAACACAUGCAAGUCGAGCGGGCAUCCUUGUGGUGUCAGCGGCAGACGGGUGAGUAACGCGUGGGAACGUGCCCUUCGGUUCGGAAUAACUCAGGGAAACUUGAGCUAAUACCGGAUACGUGCGAGAGCAGAAAGGUUUAUCUGCCGAAGGAUCGGCCCGCGUCUGAUUAGCUAGUUGGUGAGGUUACGGCUCACCAAGGCGACGAUCAGUAGCUGGUCUGAGAGGAUGAUCAGCCACAAUGGGACUGAGACACGGCCCAGACUCCUACGGGAGGCAGCAGUGGGGAAUAUUGGACAAUGGGGGCAACCCUGAUCCAGCCAUGCCGCGUGAGUGAUGACGGCCUUAGGGUUGUAAAGCUCUUUUCUCCGGGACGAUAAUGACGGUACCGGAGGAAUAAGCCCCGGCUAACUUCGUG